AAAAGAUAAAAAUGCUAUUUUCUCCAUAGUCAUUGUCGUUCUUUCCGGUGAUCCAAAAGAUUCGUUAACGGGGUGAAAAGGACGAUGAGAAAAGUAUUUCAAUAUCAGUUUAAUCAAGUCCUGACAUUACAGUAUUACCAAUAGACAUGUACAUAACAAACACUUGACAGAUACAGGAUCCUCCUCCAUUCUGAUUCUUGUGGACCUCAGGGAUGGUUUUGACACUGCAGAUCACAUCAUUCUACUCCAGAGCCUAAGAGAGCACACUGCCAUCUUUGGGAAUGCCUUAAACUGGUUCACCUCAUACCUCACUAACCGACCUCCAUACCACCAACUGAAGGAGAAAUGGCUAUUGAAGCCAAUGGAACAGUUGGGAUCAGAAGCAGGACUCAUAAUCAAGACAGGUGUGCAGAGCCUUUGGUGGUGAAGAAAGUGUUUUCAGAAACAGAGGUCUUUGGAUAUGGAUAUGGAGGUCCCAAAGGAACAGGGAAACCCCGUGUCGGGGCUAACGCAGUGGCAGUAGCUGGCUACAUAAAGAAAAAAGGGAAAGUUGUUGGGGUGGAGGGUGCGGCCCUUGGUGUUUCGACCGGGGUCAAUGCCGGGUUUUUAGGUGGAGUGGGAGUUGGACCCGAUGGGAUCAUAAAUUGUAUUGAUAACUUUGAUAGACCUGGGGAUGCUUCUGCAACAGGAACAUAUCACGGUACAGAAGUUUAUGCACAUGGUGGUUUUAUUAUUGGUCAUAUUAACAAAACAGGGGAGCGUGUUCCCAAGGCAGGGGCAUGGUGGGGGGCUGGGGUCGGCCUUGCAAGGGCAGCAAUUAGUGUCCUUGAGGUGGAGGCCAAAGGGCCUAAUGUUUCUGCUGAGGCAUCCGCCACAAUACUUGGAGCUGGGGCAAUGGCCAGAGCCGAGGUGGGCAGCGUCUCCAUAACCGCUGGUCCAGUCAGAGCAUCUUUAGGUCUGGGGGUUGACACCGGUGUGAGUGCUGGUGUGGAUGGGGUUGAGGUUAAACUCCUUGGCACUGGGUUAAAACUAGGUCCAAGACCCAGCGUUGCAGUUUUAGGCUCAAAGGCAGAAUGUUCAAUCUUGUAGGGUUGAUGUAUGUAUGAAGCAGUUAUCCAGCACAUUACACAGACAUAAACAUAAACAAUUACAGUCCUCUUAAUUAAACUAAGUAAAAUAAGCAACAUGAAAAAAUGAAUGUACAAGUUCAAGAAUUACACGACAAUGUUUGUAUUGAAGUGCUGAUUGGUCAAUAAACAUAUUUCACACGUUAAAGACUGUUAUUUUGAACAAAUUAAAAUUCAAUAUGCACAUAGUACUGUUCUCCAUUAGAAUGCGAGAUAUG